CUUUAGUCUCACAUAAUCAUUGGUGGCAGGUUUCAUGUGUGAUCCCCUCAUUCCUCCCCACUUCAUCAGUAAGAGCUGUUGGAAAUCAUUGAUUUCCUUCUCUUUAUUUGCAGGGGCGCGAUGGGCUGCCUAUACCAGGAUGCUGGCAUAAGUAAUGACUAACCUGGAGCAUGGAGUUUGUACAUAUUGAUAUAUAUUUUGCAAGUAAAAUUAGCUUUUUCUCCCAAUUUUUUAGUCAUCUCUUAUUUAAUAAAUUGGGUUUUCAUAUGGGAGCCCUUGCAAAAAUAAUAUCUGUAUCGUUGCAUUAACAAAAGAGAGGCUCUCCACUGCCACAAUAUCAAGUGUAGAAAAGCAAUGAAGCGAGCAUCAUAGGUGCUGAGACUGUACUGAUAUUAAGAAGAGACAUGAACUCAAUGCUUGUGGAUGCACAGAGAAUGCUGCUGCAGUCUUUAAGGUGAGAACAUAACCCUGAACUUUCUAACAGACUGACCAAUGUGUCUGCAAAUGAUCACUUCUUUAGUGGCUGUCUUACUUUCCUGGGCGUCAUUUGAAACAACCAACCCCACCCAUUCUUUGCUAAAUGUUUGCUUUGAAAGGAAGAGGUUUCAGGGCAGGGUGGCAAAGCCAAGCACCCAUCUCAGCCCUAAAGGACACUGAAUGGGAUAUAUGGAGGGAGUAUGCUUUGCCAGUUCAGCUGGAUGUUUCCAAUGAAAGGGCUCACCUGUACUACAGGGAGAAAUGCAAUGUGGACAUUGCACUAGAUUUGUACUGGUAUACAUAUGGACAAAACUGUACUCAGGAAACUCUUUUCACUUGGUCAACAGGAAACAGCUUACUGUCUUUUGUUCCAUUUCUCAGUAAAAUACACCAGUGGAGAGGUGGAAAAAAGUAUAAUAACUGACUGAUAUCAUGUAAAGUUGUCGUUGUAAGUCUUGUCUGUUUAUAAGAUCCCUCAUAAACUAAAACAACUUUGGUCUUUUAUUCAUGUUUUGUUUUGUUCAUUGUUUGGUCUUUUAUUCAU